rnacentral:rRNA from 1 species
AUGGACGGCAACGGCGUAGCCCUCCCCAGCGACCUCCUCCUCGAGAUCCUCAGGCGCCUCCCCGGCCGCGCCCUCGCCGUGUCCCGGUGCGUCUGCCGCGCGUGGCGCGACCUCGUGUCCGAUCACACCCACGCCCUCCUCCUCCCGCAGGUAUUCCCGCGCGAGUUUCCCGGCGUCUUCGCCACCUACCACGGCUACGACCCCGACUUCGCCUUCUUCGGCCCGCCGCCAUCGCCGUCGGCCGACGCCCACGUGCCCGGCUACCGGCGUCUCUUCUGGGACCAUUGGGAUUGCCUUGUGAAGCAGCACUGCAACGGCUUGCUCCUCGUCACGGGGAAGCGCUACUUCAAUCCUAACAUGGUUCCCUACGUGUGCAACCCAGCCACGUCGCGGUAUGCCCGCCUGCCAUGUCCGCCGACGCGCUGGCCGUGCAGCGUCGAGGGCAUGUUCCUCGCCUUUGACCCGGCCGUGUCGCGGCACCACGAGGUGUUCUUCUUACCCACAGAAAAGCUAGAUCGCAACGACGAGGAAGAUGAGUGGCCACGCGCCAAACGUCGACCAUGCCCGUGCUGGAUCGAUUGGGAGGACACGUGGCUACCCAACUUGUUUGGAGAAGACAAACCAUUCUCUGAAUCUAAGGAAGAGCCCAACCCAAAGGUGCCCAAGGAGAAUGUGUUCCACGUGUUGGUGUUCUCUUCACGGACAGGCCAGUGGGAGAGCCGCAAGUUCACGCCAGGGCGAUGCGCCUCAGGAAACCUAUACGAUGUGGUGACCACGCCGCGCUGUAAGGAUCUGCGCACGUGGUGGUCGGCCGAGUAUUGGCAUGGCUCACUCUACGUGCACUGCCAUAGUGAUGUCCUCAUGAUCCUGUGUUGCUCGGAGGGGACAUACCAGAUGGUUCAGCUUCCAGGGCAUCCUUAUGGCCGCAAGAGAUUGCGUCAAUGGGCACUGCCAACGAGGUACUUAGGGAGUUGCAAUAGAGGGAUCCGCUAUGCGGUGGUCAAAGAUUUGCUGCUUGAAGUAUGGGAUCUAAUGGAGUCGGCCGAUGAUCAGUUGGGAUGGACAUUGGCACACCGUGCCGACCUCAAAGAGCAUGACCGUAUGAUGAAAUAUCUUAGUAGUGAACCGAGGAUGGAACCAAGGAUGACAUGGGAAUUGGCUGAAGGCAACAAAGACUUAAUCAGCCUAUUCGAAGAUGGCAAUAGUGAGGAAAUUGAUGAUGAUUGCGAUGACGGGACCGGAGACUACAAGGAUGGUGGAGAGGAAGAGGACGAAGAUAACUAUGACGAGGCACAAGAUGUAGAGGAUGAACAAGAAGAUAAUGAUGACCAGACACAAGGUGGUGAGAAGGAAGAACAAACUAGCUAUGUUGAUGAUGAUGAUGACAACGAUGACUAUGAUGAUGAUGAUGAUGACGGUUCCGACUACUCAUGGAACUCGGACAAACACAACUUCAUUGACUAUGAUAACAUUACAGUUCCAGACGAAGACCUUUGGGGGUGGGGCUGCAGUAUUGUCGGAUUCCAUCCGCACAAGGAUGCGCUUCUUCUCAAAUUUAGUGACACGGUGGGUACAUAUCAUCUCCAGACUUCCAGAAUGCAGUAUCUAGGAGGCUACAUAUAUCCUGAGAAACAUCACCAACAAGUUAGAGGCAUGGACCAUGCAUUCCCCUACCGCCCUUGCUACGUUGAUGCACUCCCGCUCAGAAAUGUCUCGUUCAUCUUAGAAACUCGACACCGGACACCUUUUUAUGCAAUUUUAUUUGCACCGUACGUUCUUUAG